rnacentral:rRNA from 1 species
AUAGUCCUAGGGGGGCAGCAGUGGGGAAUAUUGCACAAUGGGGGAAACCCUGAUGCAGCAACGCCGCGUGAGUGAAGAAGUAUUUCGGGAUUUAAAGCUCUAUCAGCAGGGAAGAAAAUGACGGUACCUGAGUAAGAAGCCCCGGCUACCUACGUGCCAGCAGCCGCGGUAAUACGUAGGGGGCAAGCGUUAUCCGGAUCUACUGGGUGUAAAGGGAGCGUAGACGGCGAUGCAAGUCUGAAGUGAAAGC